CACGGAUUCCUUGCUGUCUGGUGCUGACACUAACUGGCGCAAACCUCCGCAGAAGCCCCUUCCCUGGACAGGGAGUUCAGUCAACUGAGACUUUUUUCCAUGAAGCUCUGCUUUGCAUAAAGCAGCAACAUCAUCAGAAAAAAAAAAAAAGAAGAAGAAGAAGAUGGGAAGGAACGCACUAGCCGUGGCCUGAGAGAGAAAUCGAGUGAGUGAAACCGAGGGCAUGUGACGAACAGUCAAUAUCCAGCAACAGCGGCAAAACAGUUUCAAUUUUCUGGAUUAUUAAUUCAAAUUCACACGCACAUGCCAGUUAAAAUUAAAGGCCUCUUUUUACGGCACCAGUUUAAAUUAAAGAUUAUAUUCUGCUCCACAAGUCUGAAUUAAAUAGCUGAUUUUGCACACCGAGCUCUCAUUUUAAAGCUAAUAAAGAAAAGACAUAGCGUGUACGAGCA
rnacentral:lncRNA from 1 species